AAACAUCGAAAUGCUAAAAGUGAUUAUCAUUGUCAUGGUUGCAUUACUGGCUAUGAUUGCUGGUGAUCCGUUACCAGCUCCUGUUCCAGCUCCAAAUCCUGUACCUAAACUUAUUUGGCCAAACACUGUACUUCCGUAUGAUCCAUAUGCUUAUUAUGGGCUCUAUUAUUAACUUUGUUUAAUACUAUUCGAUUAAAUUAGAGUAUUGUCAAAAUAUGUUUCCCAAAAAUUCAUUAAAUCUAACUCUGUAUUAUUAAACUAAAAAAUCAUCAUGACUCCAGAGCUAUUUCAUUCAAUUUAAUGUAGAAAAAAUCAUUAAAUUAAAACUUAAAUAUUUUCCGUAGAGUAAUAUAUUUGAAUACCCAUUGAAAUCAGGUUUAUAAUUAUUGCAAAAGUAAUGGGAAAAUUACUAAAUGAUCAUUAUUUUCCUAUCACUUUUAAUUUCUUUGGCUAUAUGUAUAAAAUACCUAUUUUAAUCAACUCAGUAAAAAGAAAUUAUUCAACAUGUACAAACUGUUUGUCGUAGUUUUUUUAACAAUCAUAGUUAUGGCUACAGCAAUGCCUUAUCCCGACCCAGAACCAAAUCCAAAUCCAAUAUUUAAAUACAUAAAUUUCUCCAUUAAAGUAUCCCAUUUAGGCUAAAAUGGACUGUUUGUGAAAACUUAGUUUAAUAAUAACGAUAUAUAUGUAUGUAUUACAUGUUGAGUUGUAUAAACCUGUUAAUAUAAUAAAAAUAAUUGUCUUAUUUGCUCAUGUUGGUAUUAUUUAGUCAUGAUUCAAUUAUAAUGGACAAAUGUGAAUUUUCAUAAAAACUGUUUUCACUUAUACUGUUUAUCAUACAAAUUACAAAGGUUAAUCUAAAUUGUCAAAAAAACUGCAUGCAUGCAUAAUAUGCAUAACCCACACCUAAUUUUAAACUUGUACAAACAAUAUAAAAGCGACCAGAUUUGUGUAAUUAAUACAGUCUAAUUUUGACAACCAUCCAAAAUGUUCAAAUUCGUAUUUGUACUCAUCGUUGCCCUUUUCGCUGCAGCCAUGGCUGCUCCUGAACCAAACCCCAAACCAGUUCCGGCCCCAAAACCAAUUUAUGCUGCUUACGCCGCUCCAAUUUACGGUGGGGCUUACGGAUACGGAUACGCCGCACCAGCUGUUUAUUCUGGAUAUGUAGCGCCGUACAGUUAUUAUUAGACAAAUAAAUAGCAUGCAUUAAAAUA